UAUAAAUUACCAUACGGUGUUGCUCGCACUUUUGCGAACAUAUUUUUUUCACAUUUAAUAAAUGUGCUACUUCUUUUAAAAUGUUUACCUGUAUUAUUCCUGCAAGCAACUGUACAGGAACCGAAGAAGCACGACUAUGUUAACGUACGAAAAGGGAUCUCUUGGAAUUCUUCUUUCACAUUUCAAAGAUGUAUACACUUAAGAUGAUUGCCAACACUAAGUCUCCCCUAAGACAAACUUGUUCCACAUCCACAGCUGCGAAAACGCUCUUAAGGAAGGUUAGAGGACUGGUUAAGGAUCAUCAGUCAGCCAAUCCAAGUGAUAUUUACAGAUGUACAGUAAAUAUUAUCGUCUAAUUUAGUCGCUAAUGCAUGAAUACCUAUCAAUGAAGUUGCCUUUUUGAAGAAAGAAGAUCUGAAAGAGUGCUGUGAUAUUUCUGUGAAGAAGAAUUCUUUUUUCUAGCUUUGCAUAUGAUCUUCUAGCAAACUCGUCAGAUUCUCUAACACUGUUCUCAUGAGACUUCAGGGGGGCUGACUGCAGCUGUCAAGCCAAUACCACUCCCUGGCUUGUAUGGUUUAAACUGUCACAAUUCUCAAAGCACAGUAUGUCACCAACAAACUCUUUUAAGAUCCCACACGUCAGCAGGUGGAAAACAAAAGAGCUAAGGGACAUUAGCACUCAGUUAUUGUCUGUAUUGUUCAUGGAGCUGCAGAAGUUCAUUUUUGGAGCACCCUUAAAAAUGACAAUAUUAUGAAACAAAGCAAUCAGGCAGCUUAAAGUAACUUGCACUGAGAACUGAGUAACACAGGUGCACAAUAAUAUCCAUGUAUUUUCUAACCUGCAUAUUCUAAGUUAGGGUUGAGAGGAGCAAGUAUAUUUUGUUGCAAUAUCAACACAAAAAUGAACCAGUCCUGUAUAGGGUGUCAAUCCAUCAAAGGACAUGCACAUGCACACAUCCACUCUCACAUUCACUUGGCCAUCUUAGAAUCAUUAAUUAACAUAACUUACCUGUGUUUAAGAUGUGGAAGGAAAAACUAAGUACUUGGGGAAAAAUAUUCAGAAAGUAGCCAAGCAUAGAGCUGUGAGAAUUCAGGACUAAUUGCUGCACCGUAUAUAGAACUAGCUGUUCUGUGCGGCUCCGCCUGCAUAGUAGUGAAACAGGACAAACUUUAGAAAUCAAUAAAAAAAAUUUUUAAAAAUGUAAUAGUUUAUAGUGAGAAGAAUUUAUAAUGAUAGCUUUCAUAUCCGAGGGCUUCUUGAUAUACAAUAUGUUUGCUUUUGCUAUCAGGUGCGGGAAUGUAGCUGUGAUCUCUUUGCCAAAAGUGUAAAAAGUUGGCAAGGUGUCUCUGGCCAAGCAGAAGGUAGGUACACUCCAACGUCAAACGUUGUCACUUUGUCUUAUCGUCUUCAGCUCUAAUGGGAUAGCGACCCCGCUUGGGGAGAAGAUCACGUGGCCAUGAUAUCUCUGCCAAUGAGCAGGUACCCAGUAAAAAACGUGUAGCUGUGAUCUCUCCCUCAAAAUGUCAAACAUUACUCUUUGCCAAUCUCUAGAUGAUAAUGUCUGCUGAAUAAACAGAUAUCACUAGCUAAGGCAAGGUACGCUCCAACAUGUGGUGAGAACUAAAGCAACUCGAACAGAGGCCGGCAUGUGAGUGAGGAUGGCCCCGCUCCAGAUCCCUAUUCUUGAGGUACCCCUGGCUCUUGGAUUCGUGCAAAUAAAUAGGCGCCACAACCGAAUUAUGAGAGAAGUCGCAAAAUCAACCAGAAUG